UACGAAGGGGGCUAGCGUUGCUCGGAAUUACUGGGCGUAAAGGGUGCGUAGGCGGACCUUUAAGUCGGGGGUGAAAUCCUGGAGCUCAACUCCAGAACUGCCUUUGAUACUGAGGGUCUUGAGUCCGGGAGAGGUGAGUGGAACUGCGAGUGUGGAGGUGAAAUUCGUAGAUAUUCGCAAGAACACCAGUGGCGAAGGCGGCUCACUGGCCCAGUACUGACGCUGAGGCACGAAAGCGUGGGGAGCAAACAGG
rnacentral:rRNA from 1 species